GUGAAAGCUGCUUCUCUAUAUGUCUGAUUCUAUGUGACACGUGUAACGUACCAACGGCACAGCAAAACAGCUAUAAUUACCUCCUUCAAAUUUCAAUUUUACUCGCACAAAUUUGCUUUUCAAGAAAUACCAUAAUCUAUUUAUUACGAAACGGUCUUAUUUUCAAGAAAUCGAGGAUUUUGUAUGUCAAAUGGAAGAUCGCAAGGAGGUAAACACCUCUCUUUCUGUCGUUCAGAAUUCCCUCUUCUGGGCACAAUUUCUACUUUGUUUAUAAGUUUCCAAGAAACGAAUGGUUUAUGCGUAUCAUUUUCUUGAGUUCCAGUAUGAUUUACAAUUGCAUAUUUGUUGCUUUCACUUCUUGUUGUGGCACUGAUUAAAUGGAAUUCGAUUGAAAUUCUUGGGCUGUAGAUUUCAUAUGUGCAAUCUAAAUUUGCUUGAAGAAAUCCGAAAACGAAAAGGUUUAUGUGAUUCAGUCAAAAAUUCUGUACUUUGACUCGUUAUCUUAAUAAGGGAGGGAAGGAGGAGUUGAAGAAGCUAUUAUCAUUUUUGAUUUCUCUAUGUUGAAAAUGCGUGAAAGAAAUGGAUGCUUCACCUUUCUUUCUUUCUGAAGAGGAUUGGGUUGGUUUGAAAAAUUCAGAAAUAUAAGCUUUCGGAAAAGUCAAUUAAACGAUAAUCACUUCAAUUUAAUAUUAAGAUUGACUAUUAAACACGACAUUGUUUGCUGUAUAUGUG
rnacentral:lncRNA from 1 species